AAGAUGGACUUUUUCUUCGUGCGGCGAUAGCUUUCGUCCGUCUGCCGUCUGAGCCGUGCGUCCGCGCGUCUGCGUACCCAGUCUGGCCCCCGUGAUUCCCUCCCCGAUCCCCUCCCCCUUUCCUAUCGCAUCCGCGCGAGUGCCACCGAUCCACGCGCUCCAAUCCGUUCGCGAGAGCGCCCCAAUCCGUCAGCGAGGGCGUCCGCGCGAGCGCCCCGAUCGCCUCCUCCUCUCUCGCGGUCAUCCCGUGCGUCGGAUUCGUCGCCAUCCAGGCGCUGCUCCAUCCUCCCCCACCGAUGCCGCCCUGUCCCUGCAGUGCCUCUCCUUCCCUCCUAUGACACCGCCAACUACGACGGCGAGGAUCGAGAUGGCGGCAGGGAUCCAUGCCGCGCAGUUUCCAGCGAAGCCCGACUCCCCUUACGGCACGGUGCAGCCGAGCACCUCCGGUGGCCGCGGCCGCAACUGCCCGCCCAGCGCCGCUCGCGCCUCGCCUCUACCGAGGUCACCACGCCGCUGCCACGUGCGACGAUGGCCGCCGCCCCGUUCCCCAUCAAGGUCGCGAGGCACGCAGAUCCGUGCUUCAUCCACGAAAUCUGGGCAGUACAUAUUUCUUUUUGCAUUUCAUUUGUUUCGAUCAUUUGCUUUAGAAGUCACCAAUUGAAUCUAGGCUAUCAAUUUUGAUGCACGUUAUAUGAUUGGAUGAGAUCUUGGCAAAAUUCUACUUCAUUCCCGUACAUGAACUCAACUGAGACAGCCUAAGGUAAGGGAGGUGGAAGAAAGAAAGGGACUGUUGCAAAAAAUAGUUUUCCAUUCUAUGAUUGAAGGGUUAACCAUUUGCAUUUAGUUUUGUGGUUUUUGUCAACCUGUGAGUUAGUAGAAAUUAUGGAAGGACCACUUUUGUAGUGUUAGAAGAGAAUUUCAGACACCUACAUGCUUUAUUUACAUGCUGUGUUUGUUAUGUAAAGCUUUAAGAUUAGGUACUUUAUCAUAUAUAGAUUUUGCUCGUGUCAUGUAAAAAUGCAAAAUAAUAACAAUAAUAUUAUUGUGCUUUUUAGUUGUAGGAGAUUUUGUAUUAACUUUGUGAUGUGAAUAACCUUCUACAAAAAUAAAGGUUAUAAGGAUCAGUUGCUUAUUAACACGCCAUCACCACUCCUACUGGGAGAAGUUAGUAGGUAAGUCAUACAUGUCAGAAUUCUUCCACUAUGCAAGUUUCUCAUAUGUUUUAUCUACUGUCUUUGUGUGCUGAAAAAAUUGUCUCAGUUCUACAUUGCUGAUUUUUCAAUUUCGUAUGAGUAUGCAAAGAAUUGGAUGAACAAGAUUUGCAAUUAUUAAUCACAUAGGAUUAGAUAGCUUUUAGGAUGAUGAUGAACCAAAGCAAGUGGAAGAGCACUCAGAGGAGACAAUUUUGAUUUUACAUAGUGACGAGGAAGAGCCGAUGCAAGUGGAUCCACUUUGUUUAUUGUACCUUUGAGCAGUCUGCAGUACAAAAUCCACUUCUGCAGAAAUGUAUAUAUAUCUUUUUUAUUGCUGCAGAGGUGCAUGUACAAAUAUCAACAGUUGUAGUUUUUGUUAUUUGCAUUAUGCUAAUUAAACCCCUGUGAAUUUCAUCCACUUUUCAGAUAACAAAUGAGCUUCUGUUGAAUUCUUUUCUCAAAGCAUAUGGGUUCUUGGAGUGUGCUAUCCAGCAUGGUAUUCCUAGGAUAUUUCCAGAAAAUAGGAAUUAUUCAGAAGACAAGGACAAUCAUGGAGUGUUUGCACCGGAUUAUAGUACAGAUAAAUCAAUGUGGCUUGGGUAUGGUUCCAUAAGUUCAAUGGUUUAGGGUUGGUUGGCAUAUACAAAUUAAUUGGUGACUGACUACGCCUAAGAAACACUUACUGCAGUUUUGAUGCUCUCCUGUACUUAGGCUGCUACUUUUUUUACAAUUUCAUUAUUUUCAUUCUGCUUAUAACAACUAGAUGUAGAAUUGCAUUUUAAUCGAUGUGCUGUGUUUUUCAUGUUACAUUUCAUUCGUCAAACAACUACACAACCGCUUCUGAGGAGAGACUUGGGCAGCUCAUUCAGAAGUUGAAAAAGGAAGAUGUUAAUACUAAGUAGUGGAGACAUGGAUAUCACCCAAAUUCCCGUUUAAGCUAGAACAUUACUGAGAUCAGGUUUUCUGAUAACCAAUCUUUCUUUGUAGCAUAUGCGAGAGGAGCCACCUUUAUUACUGUGAUUACCAGUACAGAGAGCUGAGUUCAGGACCUCAGUUCAGGCAAGCACAUCGGCACCAGUAUUGCAUCAGUUGAACAUUGGCUAUUGAGAAGGACAGCCAUGCUGCUGAGAUGGGAUCCACGGAGAGAGCUACGGGCGAUGAGAGAAAAGUGACAGAGAAUGGUGCUUGAUAUUUUCAGCUCUCACCCGAAUGCUCGCAUUGGUCGAGAAUCAUGAAGCGAAGGGUUACAACAGAUUAUACUUUUAGGAAUGAAAAAAUGUGGAAUUUGUUUUUAUCUCUUGAUUAUAGUCAGAUGCUUUCUCUUGGGAGAAAUGGUGCGCAUUGUAUAUUGUUUUGUUAUAUAUAUAUAUAUAUAUAUAUAUAUAUAUAUAUAUAUAUAUUCGACUUGUGUAAGGAUAGUAUAGAGAUAUGAUAUGAAAUUAUUUGUGGAUUUA